rnacentral:rRNA from 1 species
CUACGGGGGGCUGCAGGCGCGUAACCUCUACAAUGCACGCAAGUGUGAUAGGGGGAUCCCAAGUGCUUAUGCAUAGCAUAGGCUUUUGCCAAGACUAGAUCUCUUGGCGAAUAAGGGGUGGGCAAGACUGGUGCCAGCCGCCGCGGUAACACCAGCGCCCCAAGUGGCAAUCACGAUUAUUGGGCCUAAAGCGUUCGUAGCAGGUUUGGUAAAUCUUUUGUGAAAUCGUCAGGCUUAACCUGACGGAUUGCAGAAAACACUGCCAGACUAGGGACCGGGAGGGGUCAGAAGUAUUCUGGGGGGACUGGUAAAAUGGUAUAAUCCCCAGAGGACUACCGAUGGCGAAGGCAUCUGACCAGAACGGAUCCGACUGUGAGGGACGAAAGCCAGGGGAGCGAACCGGAUUAGAUACCCCGGUAGUC